UCCCAGAAAAUCUAUAAGAUAUUAAGUUUUUACCUUAAAUAAGGCUAAGGCCUCUGAGAA
rnacentral:tRNA from 1 species